GAUGAACGCUGGCGGCGUGCCUAAUACAUGCAAGUCGAGCGAACAGAUGAGGAGCUUGCUCCUCUGACGUUAGCGGCGGACGGGUGAGUAACACGUGGAUAACCUACCUAUAAGACUGGGAUAACUUCGGGAAACCGGAGCUAAUACCGGAUAAUAUAUUGAACCGCAUGGUUCAAUAGUGAAAGACGGUUUUGCUGUCACUUAUAGAUGGAUCCGCGCCGCAUUAGCUAGUUGGUAAGGUAACGGCUUACCAAGGCGUCGAUGCGUAGCCGACCUGAGAGGGUGAUCGGCCACACUGGAACUGAGACACGGUCCAGACUCCUACGGGAGGCAGCAGUAGGGAAUCUUCCGCAAUGGGCGAAAGCCUGACGGAGCAACGCCGCGUGAGUGAUGAAGGUCUUCGGAUCGUAAAACUCUGUUAUUAGGGAAGAACAAAUGUGUAAGUAACUAUGCACGUCUUGACGGUACCUAAUCAGAAAGCCACGGCUAACUACGUG
rnacentral:rRNA from 1 species